AAAAGAAAACUUUAUGAUUGUAAGAGAAUUUCCGCGGGAAAAUUAGCGAAGUUUCUUCUUACUGGAAAUCUCAAAAACAGACAAGAAGCUUCAACUUAAGAAGAACUUUAAGAGAAGACAAGAAAUUGUGGGAAUUUGUUUCCUUUCUUGGGAAAAUAAAAGAGAGUGGACAAAGAUGCAGAUUUCCCCACACAAGAAGAAAUGAAACUGUGGGAGAAUCAGAAUCCAAGAAAAUGAAAGGACUUUGGAUCUGUGAAUAUAAAACUACA